CAGCAGCCGCGGUAAUACGUAAGGUGCAAGCGUUAAUCGGAAUUACUGGGCGUAAAGCGUGCGCAGGCGGUUUGUUAAGACAGAUGUGAAAUCCCCGGGCUCAACCUGGGAACUGCAUUUGUGACUGGCAAGCUAGAGUGUGGCAGAGGGGGGUGGAAUUCCGCGUGUAGCAGUGAAAUGCGUAGAUAUGCGGAGGAACACCGAUGGCGAAGGCAGCCCCCUGGACCUGUACUGACGCUCAUGCACGAAAGCGUGGGGAGCAAACAGGAUUAGAUACCCGUGUAGUCCCUGUCUCUUAUAC
rnacentral:rRNA from 1 species